AGCAGCCGCGGUAAUUCCAGCUCCAAUAGCGUAUAUUAAAGUUGUUGCAGUUAAAAAGCUCGUAGUUGAAUUUCGGGGUUAGUAGGUUGGUCAUGCCUCUGGUAUGUACUGAUCUCACUGAUUCCUCCUUCCUUAUGAACCGUAAUGCCAUUAAUUUGGUGUUGCGGGGAAUUUGGACUGUUACUUUGAAAAAUUAGAGUGUUUAAAGCAGGCUAACGCUUGAAUACAUUAGCAUGGAAUAAUGAAAUAGGACGUUUGAUUCUAUUUUGUUGGUUUCUAGGAUCGACGUAAUGAUUAAUAGGGAUAGUUGGGGGCAUUAGUAUUCAAUUGUCAGAGGUGAAAUUCUUGGAUUUAUUGAAGACUAACUACUGCGAAAGCAUUUGCCAAGGAUGUUUUCAUUAAUCAAGAACGAAAGUUAGGGGAUCGAAGACGAUCAGAUACCGUCGUAGUCUUAACCAUAAACUAUGCCGACUAGGGAUCGGAUGAUGUUAACUUUUUAAUGACUCAUUCGGCGCCUUAC
rnacentral:rRNA from 1 species